GACCGCGUAGCUCAGUUGGUAGAACAUUGGUCUAGCAUUCCAAAGGUCGUAGGUUCAAUUCCCACCGUGGCCA
rnacentral:tRNA from 1 species